UGGGGAAUUUUGGACAAUGGGGGAAACCCUGAUCCAGCCAUCCCGCGUGUGCGAUGAAGGCCUUCGGGUUGUAAAGCACUUUUUGCAGGAAAGAAACGUCAUGGGUUAAUACCCCGUGAAACUGACGGUACCUGCAGAAUAAGCACCGGCUAACUACGUGCCAGCAGCCGCGGUAAUACGUAGGGUGCAAGCGUUAAUCGGAAUUACUGGGCGUAAAGCGUGCGCAGGCGGUUCGGAAAGAAGGAUGUGAAAUCCCAGAGCUCAACUUUGGAACUGCAUUUUUAACUACCGGGCUAGAGUGUGUCAGAGGGAGGUGGAAUUCCGCGUGUAGCAGUGAAAUGAGUAGAUAUGCGGAGGAACACCGAUGGCGAAGGCAGCCUCCUGGGAUAACACUGACGCUCAUGCACGAAAGCGUGGGGAGCAAACAGG
rnacentral:rRNA from 1 species